UCAUUGGUGGUUCAGUGGUAGAAUACUUACCUUCCUUGAAAGAGACCCAAGUUCGAUUCCCAGCCAAUGCA
rnacentral:tRNA from 1 species